AUUAAGACUCUCGGCAACGGAUAUCUCGGCUCUUACAUCGAUGAAGAACGUAGCGAAAUGCGAUACUUGGUGUGAAUUGCAGAAUCCCGUGAACCAUCGAGUCUUUGAACGCAAGUUGCGCCCGAGGCCUUUGGGUCGAGGGCACGCCUGCCUGGGCGUCACGC
rnacentral:rRNA from 1 species